UAUUGGUUAUAGCUAAACCGUAAAAUUUUCAUAUGGCGCACACCUAUUAGAUUUGUACCCACUUAAAAAAAUUUAAUUGAUACCUAAUACUCCUAUUUGGGUAACUUCAUAUAAAUGCACUUUUCUCUUAUUCUUUGCUGCUACUUUAUUUUUCUUUGUGUUUAGGAUUCCUUCUUCUUCUUUUGUUGCAAAACAGAUUUGUUACCCAUUCUUACCCAUUCCUUGACAAAAGCUUCUUCCAUGUCUACUCUCCUCCAAACUCUCUCCACUAGGCAACAAUGGAGGCUAAAAACACAGAUUUUUCUGAAGUGGUUCUCUACUAUUGUCGAUGAUGAACCGAUUGUGGUUGUCCAUUAACUGAAGCUCGUUUGUCUCGCUUCUGCGGUAUUUUUGACUUUUGUAUAGGGAACACUAAGUGCCAUCAAGACAAAAAUAGUAAUGGGGAGGAGAAGAACUUUAAUGUAGCCAAAAUUAUUUGACAGUAUGCCUGAAUAUGUAAGUCUCAAUCCUUCAACUAUAAAUCCUGAAUUCUAAAACUGUGAAAUGUGGUGAUUUCCUUUUGUUUGUUUUAUGUUGGUAUGCCAAUUGUUGAUUUAUAACAAACUUUAGUUUAUUCUUUGUCUCUGUUAUACAAAUAUAGUUUUCCCUCUUUACUGUCGUUAUACAAAUGUAGUUUCCCCUCUUUACUGUCUUCAAUUGGAUAAUGCUGCGAGCUUUGCUGAGAUUUUUACUUGGAUUUGGAAUUUUCAAGUUGAAACUUAAGAUCUUUAUUUAACUUUUGCGGUCCAACUUUCAUAGGAAUGCUUUAUUGAUCUGACAAAGAUAGUGAUUCUCCUUUAAUUUUCUUCCUAUAUUCUUCCGAGGACUCAGGUUCAUGCUUUUUUUAGUCUCUCUUUUUUUCAGGUGGGUGUUAGAGUUCACAAAGCUCUAUUUUAAAAUAGGUUCCUGUCAAUUGGUUAAUGUUUGAAUCUACUGGGCUAUCUUGGAAUUUAUAGUAGUCAUAUCUAACAAUUUUAGGUCAGUUUAGAAGUUCAAUUGAAAUUGAGAAAAAUGGUGAUUAUCUGAGGCAAGAAAUUAAUCUUCCUGUUAUGGUAAAAAAUAUUUGCACUCUAUCACCUAUUUUAUCUAAUGCAACAGCUAAGUCCAGCCACCUCUUAUCGAUCUUGUUUUAAUGUUGCUCUGCUAUGUUCGCCUCAAUAAAGUAAGGAUUCAUGUCACAUAAUUCUAGGAAUGAUAAGUAGGCGAAUCCCUCAAAGAACUUCCAUGUGUUAUAAAAUUGCAAACUAUAAAUUUAUCUUCGGAUAUGUCAUUUGGUUGUCUGCCAUUUUAUUUUGAUUACACCAAAUAUGUAUUUCAAUGACUAAGGUAAGUUUUAAUUAAGACGGGCAUUUGAACAAAGCAAUUUCCUGCAGCAUUAAUUGUGUGGAACAAAAGCAAGGCUCUCUUAACUACUAAAGAAAUAAUGUCUUAUUUUUUGGAACUAUAAGUUAUCAAUUUAAGAUUUUCUUUCACUUUAGAUCUCAACAAUGCUAUUUUAGCGUCGAUUGAAGAGGAAAUGACUUAUUCUGCUCAAAUGAUCUAUUUUCUCCUAAGUAAUGAGAUUACCUAACGUUAACCUUUCAAUUUAGAUGCCUAAAAUUUAUAUCUUAGUCUCAUUUGAAGAGGAAGACUUAUUGUACUAGAAUAGAAGGACAUCAGUUUCUUCCCAAAAUUUUACAUAUUCCUAAUUGCUCAAAAUUAUGAUUUAUCCUAUCUUGAAAAGGACAUAAUUGGAAGAAAUGGUACCUUCUUUUCAGUGCAAAAUUUGAUUCUACGUGCAUACAUCUUGUUCUAGGCUUCACUGUGGUCAUUUUUGGUACCUAUAGUUUAUGGGAUAUCAAUACUACUGGGAUUCAUUAACCCAUCAUCAUCAUGUUUUGCUGAUAGUGUUAGCUUUCUCAUAGGACAUUUAAACAGAAGAAACUCACUUUUGUGUGGAGAAUGCAGCUGAGAAAGACUCAACUUUAGUCAUUUAUAUGGACAUGUCAACUCUUACUUUUCGUGCCUCAGAGUUGAUCCAUCAUGAGUUGCUGCAUAAUACAUCAGCUAUUGUCAUCCAAUGAAUUGACCAAACAUCAACAAAUACACAGCACGUAAAUAGAACAACUUCUCAUUCUCACAUUUGUUGAUUAGAUGUCUACACUGCUGCCUUUAUGUGCUACAUUUAGGACCACAAUAAUUUAUUUUAACAAUUGCAAAGAUGAGAAUGAUAUAUGCAAUUCUUCCGGCAAAUCUAUGUGCUGGCAUUUAUAGCUUUAUUAUUGCUGCAUUUAGGUGUAUCUUGUACCAUCUAGAUGCUUUAGGAAUUUUUGGCCUUAAUUUGUGGAAUAAAACUUAAGAUAUCUGAUAGUUUCUUUUCUGAAAAUUAUAAAUUAUUUCAUUACUCGGCACCUCUUCAAUUUUGUUGUUGGUGUCCGAGUCAGGCUUGUAUCUCUUCAUUUGGUAACUUUAUCUAAGCUAGCGUUUGGCCAUAAAUUCCCAAAUUUAUUCUGAAAAAUCUGAUUUGGG